GGAGAGAAGGCUCAGUGGUUAAGAGCACUGGCUGCUCUUCCUGAGGACCUGAGUUCAAAUCCUGGUAUCUCCA
rnacentral:tRNA from 1 species